GAUGAACGCUGGCGGCGUGCUUAACACAUCCAAGUCGAACGAUGAAGCCCAGCUUGCUGGGUGGAUUAGUGGCGAACGGGUGAGUAACACGUGAGUAACCUGCCCUUGACUCUGGGAUAAGCCUGGGAAACUGGGUCUAAUACUGGAUAUGACUUCUCAUCGCAUGGUGGGGGGUGGAAAGAUUUAUUGGUCUUGGAUGGACUCGCGGCCUAUCAGCUUGUUGGUGAGGUAAUGGCUCACCAAGGCGACGACGGGUAGCCGGCCUGAGAGGGUGACCGGCCACACUGGGACUGAGACACGGCCCAGACUCCUACGGGAGGCAGCAGUGGGGAAUAUUGCACAAUGGGCGCAAGCCUGAUGCAGCGACGCCGCGUGAGGGAUGACGGCCUUCGGGUUGUAAACCUCUUUCAGUAGGGAAGAAGCGAGAGUGACGGUACCUGCAGAAGAAGCGCCGGCUAACUACGUG
rnacentral:rRNA from 1 species